AUGAGAUGCGAUUCAUUGAAUGUACGGAUCACGAUUCGUAAAUAAAUCGCAAAAUCUUCGUCUGUUAUAUCUAUCCCGGCAAUGAGAUUUCAAAAGUCAAAUUCACGCAAUCCAAUCUAUAUUCGAUUAAUCGAACAUUUUUCCCCAUAAUUUGACUGAAUCAUAUAAUUUCAAAACAAUUACUAAAUAAAUGCUUGUAGUUUCGUUGCGUUUAUAUGCCAAUCGGGAUGGGAGGACACAACCCUUAACGUCCC